UACGUAGGGUGCAGGCGUUAAUCGGAAUUACUGGGCGUAAAGCGUGCGCAGGCGGUUUGCUAAGAGAGAUGUGAAAUCCCCGGGCUUAACCUGGGAACUGCGUUUCUAACUGGCAGGCUUGAGUGUGGCAGAGGGGGGGUGGAAUUCCACGUGGUAGCAGUGAAAUGCGUAGAGAUGUGGAGGAACACCGAUGGCGAAGGCAGCCCCCUGGGCUAACACGUGACGCU
rnacentral:rRNA from 1 species